rnacentral:rRNA from 1 species
CCUACGGGUGGCAGCAGUGAGGAAUAUUGGUCAAUGGCCGGAAGGCUGAACCAGCCAUGCCGCGUGAAGGUCAGUGCCCUAUGGGCGUUAAACUUCUUUUGUGCGGGAGCAAUAAUGGUCACGUGUGGCCAGACGAGAGUACCGUACGAAUAAGCAUCGGCUAACUCCGUGCCAGCAGCCGCGGUAAUACGGGGGAUGCAAGCGUUAUCCGGAUUUAUUGGGUUUAAAGGGUGCGUAGGCUGUGAGGUAAGUCAGCGGUGAAAUGCCCCCGCUCAACGGGGUGAAGUGCCAUUGAUACUGCCGUGGUGGAAUGCGGAUGGCGUGGGAGGAAUGUGGGGUGGAGGCGGUAAAUGGA